GGUAGUUCAGUUGGUUAGAAUGCCGGCCUGUCACGCCGGAGGUCGCGGGUUCGAGUCCCGUCC
rnacentral:tRNA from 1 species